UUCGGGGACAGAGUGACAGGUGGUGCAUGGUUGUCGUCAGCUCGUGUCGUGAGAUGUUGGGUUAAGUCCCGCAACGAGCGCAACCCUUGAUCUUAGUUGCCAGCAUUCAGUUGGGCACUCUAAGGUGACUGCCGGUGACAAACCGGAGGAAGGUGGGGAUGACGUCAAAUCAUCAUGCCCCUUAUGACCUGGGCUACACACGUGCUACAAUGGACAGAACAAAGGGCUGCGAGACCGCAAGGUUUAGCCAAUCCCACAAAUCUGUUCUCAGUUCGGAUCGCAGUCUGCAACUCGACUGCGUGAAGCUGGAAUCGCUAGUAAUCGCGGAUCAGCAUGCCGCGGUGAAUACGUUCCCGGGUCUUGUACCACCGAAAC
rnacentral:rRNA from 1 species